UACGAAGGGGGCUAGCGUUGCUCGGAAUCACUGGGCGUAAAGGGCGCGUAGGCGGCCGUUCAAGUCGGGGGUGAAAGCCUGUGGCUCAACCACAGAAUGGCCCUCGAUACUGGAUGGCUCGAGACCGGAAGAGGUUGGUGGAACUGCGAGUGUAGAGGUGAAAUUCGUAGAUAUUCGCAAGAACACCAGUGGCGAAGGCGGCCAACUGGCCCGUUACCGACGCUCAGGC
rnacentral:rRNA from 1 species